rnacentral:misc_RNA from 1 species
AACGAAAACCCGUUUAGAAAGUAAAAGAUUAAACGAAUUCAAAGUAAACGAUUUAGUGAACUCAACGAUUUAAAAAAGUGAACAAGUAACGACAAGCCUGGAUAUUAUGUAUUUCGACAUUCACAUGCGUACUUGAAAACGAAAGAUUUCGCGAUGCACAUACUUAUUUGAUUUAUAUGACGUCAAAACUCUAAAACUGACGUCAUAACCUAUAAAAUUACUUAUGUGAAAAUAAACAUCAACGAAAACAACAACAGUCAACAUGUCUCUCAAUGAGCUUAUGCAUCCAAGAAAUCCGUACAAAACUCGUCCGGAUUUUAAAUCCCUUGCACUAAAGUAUCCCGAAUUUCGAUCACACUUGACAACGGAUCUUCGUGGUAAUGUAAACUUGGAUUUUAAAACAGGAGUUGGGGUCCUGACAAAGAUCCUUCUGCAUCAGGAUUUUGGACUCUCCAUAAAGCUACCCCUUGGCGCUCUUGUACCUACUCUUCCUUUAAGGUUCAACUAUUUAUUGUGGAUUCAAGAUAUUUUACAAUUAAAUCAGAUUAAUGCAAAUAUUAAGGGCCUUGAUAUUGGUGUGGGCUCCUCCUGUAUAUACCCUUUACUUGCCGCUAAGCAUUUCAAUUGGAAAAUGCUUGGGAAUGAAGCUCACGAGGAGAGCUUGUCUUAUGCACAAAGGAAUGUAACAGAAAAUAAAUUGGAAAACAACAUCGUUAUUAAAUCCAGUUCUUCGUUUUUUGGAAUUAUUGAAGAAACUCAGGAGAUAUUGGAUUUUACUAUGUGUAAUCCUCCUUUUUUUGAUACAAAUUGCUACGAAAGUUGUGAAGAAAAGCCAGGUUUAGAUCAUGAAAUGAUGACGGAAGGAGGUGAAGAGGAAUUUGUUAAAUAUAUGAUUAAGGAGAGUGAAAAAUUUAAUAGCAAAGUUAAACUUUUCACAUGUAUGCUUGGGAAAAAAUCAACAUUGAUAACAAUGAAGAAAUUAUUUUAUUCUCUUGUCAAUGAAAACCAAGGAAGGUUUUUUUGGAGUUUUACAGAGUUUUGCCAAGGUAAGACCAUGCGUUGGGGGAUAGUUUGGACUUUUUCGAAUCUAAUAAACUUGCCAAAGGAGUCUAUUUUAAGUGUCAAAAAGAAAAAUCAGAGAAUGAUGGCUCCCAUGUCAUUUUCAUUCUCAACUCAAAAGAACUGUAUUGAACUAUUUCAUGACUUGAAUGAGAUGUUUACUUCGGAUUUGAAAUGCAGGAUCGAUACUAUUGGAAAACCUAGUAAGACCAAAGUGUCUUGUAAAAUUCAGACUUUUCAUGUUCUAUGGAAGAAUCAAAGAAGACUACGAAGGGAGAAGAUUCGCUUAGAAGAUAAUCCUUCAGAUGCUAAGCGAGCUAGGAUCAGUUUUGAAAAUAAUGAACCAGAUACUUUACAAUUACAUUUUGAGAUGAACAUGCAUAAGUUCAAAGAUAAUUCCAUUAUUGAGUUCUUUUAUCUUGACGGAAAGUCUGGAAAAGAAGGCUUACAUCAAGUGAUUCAAUUUUUAAAAAAUAAACUUGGUAUUCAUUCUGUGGUCAAUUCCUAAAAACUUGCAGUUUUUCUUUGGUUGAAUUCUACCUAACAAAAUCUUACUUUUAUUUCCUAUUAAAUUUGUGAAAAAACAAAUAUUAAAUGAAGUUUAGUUUGUCAGACUAUUUAAAAGACUCUCGAGAAAUACUAAGUUUGACUAUCAUUUCACUGAAGAAAAAUGGACAAUAUACAUCAAAAUAAGAGUUUUUCUUAUAAUUUUCAUAUUGCUUACAUUGUAAUUUAUGUAUAAAUUUAAUGGUCUCAUAAAUAACAAUGGAGCUUGGUAGGAAAUUUUAUAUCCGUCACAGUAUUCUGAAGGAAGAAGAGGACAUAACUCAUGAGUUCAAAGGUCAUAGAGUUCUCCAUUUUGAAGAAGACGGCAGAAAUGGAAGAGAUGCUAAUGGCCGUAAGACGAGGCAAUAUAUAUCUAAAUAUUUAUGUGGUAUGUUGAAUUCGGGCAAAGGUGGUAGACUUUAUAUUGGAGUUCUUGAUAAUGGUCAAAUAGAGGGUGUCAUGUUGACUCGCUAUCAAAAGGAUCACAUUUUAACUUCUUUAGAAGAUAUUUUUGAGAGAUUUGAGCCUCCACUCCAUUUUUCACUAUAUUCCGUGAGUUUUGUGCCCGUUUUGGAAGAUAAUGAAAUCGAAGAAGGAAUUAAGGAUGGGUAUAAAUACUGGGACGAGAAUCAAAGAGGUUAUCCUCAUAAAAUUCGAACACAUUCUUAUUGCUGGUGUGACUUGGAAUCUCAAGCAGCCUUGAUGUCAGGCUUGAUUAAUCCAUUUUAUGUUGUCGAAAUACAGCUCAAAUCUAUUACAAAUCUGAAGGUACCUUAUCGAGCUGAAGAUGGGGCCUAUUAUAUACGAAGAAAUGCUUUUAAUGAGUGCAUUGAUUAUUCUGAACUAAUUAAGGAAUUGGAGUGUCGUUAAAUAUAGGUAGAUGUACCUAUUUACCAAUAAUAUUAUUCGGCAAGUUGCACCCGUCAUCGUUUAUAACUAGAGUACUUUAUAAAUAUAUUUUGACUAUCUUGGAGUGUAUUGUAUUUAAAUUGGUUGAAAUUGCCUUUUUGAUACGUAUGUUUUACCAUUAAUUAGCAACUUAUUAAAAUAAAAACAUAUUCCUGAUUUUCGAAAUGUGUAAUGUGGGUGUAUAAUAUAUAUAUUUGUUAUUGAAAUUUUUUGGACAGAUUAUAUUAAGUAUAGCUAAAAAGUUUAUAAUAAAUUGUUAUUUAUAAACUAUACAUUUUUCAACGUGAAUAUUAAAUAAAAUGUAUUUUUUU